rnacentral:rRNA from 1 species
GACAGAGGGGGCAAGCGUUGCUCGGAAUCACUGGGCGUAAAGAGCGUGUAGGCGGCUUGUUAAGUCUUGCGUGAAAUCUCGGGGCUCAACCCCGAGCGGUCGUGAGAAACUGGCAGGCUAGAGUGCGGGAGAGGAGAGUGGAAUUCCUGGUGUAGCGGUGAAAUGCGCAGAUAUCAGGAAGAACACCCGUGGCGAAGGCGGCUCUCUGGAACGCAACUGACGCUGAGACGCGAAAGCGUGGGGAGCAAACAGG